rnacentral:lncRNA from 1 species
UUCCGUAUUAGCUCUAAGUUCUUUCGGUCCUUUUCAUGAUCCCGACUUUCCGUAUUAUCUCUAAAUUCUUUCGGUCCUUUUUAUGAUCCCGACUUUCCGUAUUAGGUUUAAGCUCUUUCGGUCGUUUUUAUGAUCCCCGACUUUCUGUAUUAGCUCUAAGGUCUUUAGGUCCUUUUUAUGAUCCCCGACUUUGCGUAUUAGCUCUAAGCUCUUUCCGUCCAUUUUAUGAUCCCCGACUAUCCGAAUUAGCUCUAAGUUCUUUCGGUCCUUUUUUUGAUCCCCGACUUUCCGUAUUAGCUCUAAGCUCUUUCGGUCCUUAUUAUGAUCCCCGACUUUCCGUAUUAGCUCUAAGCUCUUUCGGUCCUUUUUAUGAUCCCCGAAUUUCCGUAUUAGCUCUGAGCUCUUUCGGUCCUUUUUAUGAUCCCCGACUUUCCGUAUUAGCUCUAAGUUCUUUCGGUCAUUUUUAUGAUCCCCGACUUUCCGUAUUAGCUCUAAGCUCUUUCGGUCCUUUUUAUGAUCCCCAACUUUCCGUAUUAGCUCUAAGUUCUAUCGGUCCUUUUUAUGAUCCCCGACUUUCCGUAUUACCUCUAAGUUCUUUCGGUCCUUUUUAUGAUCCCCGACUUUCCGUAUUAGCUCUAAGUUCUUUCGGUCCUUUUUAUGAUCCCCGACUUUCCGUAUUAGCUCUAAGUUCUUGAG